rnacentral:ncRNA from 1 species
CACAGCCCAUGGAUACUACCAAUUGGGUGGUUUAGUGAGGCCCUCAGCUUGGCCCUGCAGGGGUCUGCCCAUGGCCCUGGCUGAGUGCUGAGAAGAAGUCGAACUUCACUAUCUAGAGGAAGUAAAAGUCCCAACAAGGUUUCUGUAGGUGAACCUGCAGAAG